AAUACGCCUAGAUUUACGAGUAGAAAUCCAAGGUAACAUUUAUCGCUUAAAAGUAUUUACUUCAUUUUUUAUCUUCAUGUAAAAAGAGAAUGCAAGCUGAAAUAUAAAGUCUGCAGAUUCCUCCUCAGAUCGGAAGAG